AGCACUGUAUUGAAGCCUGUGGAAUAGAAUCGUCCCCAUUCUUGGUUAUGCUGUAGUGUGAAAGAAUUGCUGGCUCUCUGUUGCACAGCCAACUUUGUGCCAUUCUGCUGUUGCUGUACGGAGUUAAGGAAUGUAA
rfam:Canis lupus familiaris chromosome 22, whole genome shotgun sequence.